GACGAACGCUGGCGGCGUGCUUAACACAUGCAAGUCGAACGGAAAGGCCCUGCUUUUGUGGGGUGCUCGAGUGGCGAACGGGUGAGUAACACGUGAGUAACCUGCCCUUGACUGUGGGAUAACUUCAUGAAACUGGGGCUAAUACCGGAUAGGAGUUCCUGCUUCAUGGUGGGGGUUGGAAAGUUUCGGCGGUUGGGGAUGGACUCGCGGCUUAUCAGCUUGUUGGUGGGGUAGUGGCUUACCAAGGCUUUGACGGGUAGCCGGGCUGAGCGGGUGACCGGACACAUUGGGACUGAGAUACGGCACAGACUCCUACGGGAGGCAGCAGUGGGGAAUAUUGCACAAUGGGCGGAAGCCUGAUGCAGCAACGCCGCGUGCGGGAUGACGGCCUUCGGGUUGUAAACCGCUUUCGCCUGUGACGAAGCGUGAGUGACGGUAAUGGGUAAAGAAGCACCGGCUAACUACGUG
rnacentral:rRNA from 1 species